rnacentral:rRNA from 1 species
GGUUGUCGUCAGCUCGUGCCGUGAGGUGUCGGGUUAAGUCCCAUAACGAGCGCAACCCCUAUCAUUAGUUGCCAUCAGGUCAAGCUGGGGACUCUAAUGAAACUGCCUACGCAAGUAGUGAGGAAGGUGGGGAUGACGUCAAAUCAGCACGGCCCUUACGUCCAGGGCUACACACGUGCUACAAUGGCCGGUACAAAGGGCAGCUACCUGGUGACAGGAUGCUAAUCUCAAAAGCCGGUCUCAGUUCGGAUCGGAGUCUGCAACCCGACUCCGUGAAACUGGAAUCGCUAGUAAUCGCGCAUCAGCCAUGGCGCGGUGAAUACGUUCCCGGGCCUU